GACGAACGCUGGCGGCGUGCUUAACACAUGCAAGUCGAACGGAAAGGCCCUUUCGGGGGUGCUCGAGUGGCGAACGGGGUGAGUGACACGUGGGUGAUCUGCCCUGAACUUUGGGAUAAGCCUGGGAAACUGUGUCUAAUACCGGAUAUGACCAGUGGGUGCAUGCUUGCUGGUGGAAAGCCUUGUGCGGUUUGGGAUGGGCCCGCGGCCUAUCAGCUUGUUGGUGGGUAAUGGCCUACCAAGGCGACGACGGGUAGCCGACCUGAGAGGGUGAUCGGCCACACUGGGACUGAGACACGGCCCAGACUCCUACGGGAGGCAGCAGUGGGGAAUAUUGCACGAAUGGGCGCAAGCCUGAUGCAGCGACGCCGCGUGAGGGAUGACGGCCU
rnacentral:rRNA from 1 species